rnacentral:lncRNA from 1 species
GCUGAAAGUCCGUAUUGCCCAGCGACAGCCCCGAAACCUGAAGGAUCUGGAGAAGGUCUGUAUGGAGGAGUGGGCCAAAAUCCCUGCUGCAGUGUGUGCAAACCUGGUCAAGAACUACAGGAAAUGUAUGAUCUCUGUAAUUGCAAACAAAGGUUUCUGUACCAAAUAUUAAGUUCUACUUUUCUGAUGUAUCAAAUACUUAUGUCAUGCAAUAAAAUUCUAGUGAAUUACUUAAAAAUCAUAAGAUGUGAUUUUCUGGAUUUUUGAUUCAGUAUCUCACAGUUGAAGUGUACCUAUGAUAAAAAUUACAGACCUCUACAUAAUUUGUAAGUAGGAAAACCUGCUAAAUCGGCAGUGUAUCAAAUACUUGUUCUCCCCACUGUAUAUAUAUAUGCACAUUUUGAAUAUUCCUUAUUUGUUAAGUAAAUAACGGAACCAAGAAAAGAUGGAACCAACAAAGGUGAUAUGAGAACACUCAGAGCAGGUGAGGGAACACUCAGAGCAGGUGAGGGUACACUCAGAGCAGGUGAGGGUACACUCAGAGAAGGUUAUAUGAGAACACUGAGAGCAGGUGAGGGAACAGUCGGAGCAGGUGAUAUGAGAACACUCAGAGCAGGUGAUAUGAGAACACUCAGAGCAGGUGAGGGAACAUUCGGAGCAGGUGAGGGUACACUCAUAGCAGGUGCUAUGAGAACACUCAGAGAAGGUGAGGGAACACUCGGAGCAGGGGAUAUGAGAACACUCAGAGAAGGUGAGGGAACACUCGGAGCAGGGGAUAUGAGAACACUCAGAGAAGGUGAUAUGAGAACACUCAGAGCAGGUAAGGGAACACUCAGAGCAGGUGAGGGAACACUCAGAGCAGGUGAUAUGAGAACACUGAGAGCAGGUGAGGGAACACUCAGAGCAGGUGAGGGAACAUUCGGAGCAGGUGAGGGUACACUCAUAGCAGGUGCUAUGAGAACACUCAGAGAAGGUGAGGGAACACUCGGAGCAGGGGAUAUGAGAACACUCAGAGAAGGUGAUAUGAGAACACUCAGAGAAGGUGGGGGAACACUCAGAGAUGGUGAUAUGAGAACACUCAGAGCAGGUGAUAUGAGAACACUCAGAGAAGGUGAGGGAACACUCAGAGCAGGUGAGGGAACACUCAGAGCAGGUGAGGGUACACUCAUAGCAGGUGCUAUGAGAACACUCAGAGAAGGUGAGGGAACACUCGGAGCAGGGGAUAUGAGAACACUCAGAGAAGGUGAGGGAACACUCGGAGCAGGGGAUAUGAGAACACUCAGAGAAGGUGAUAUGAGGUCUCUCAGAGAAUGUGGGGGAACACUCAGAGAAGG